UACAGAGGUCCCAAGCGUUGUUCGGAUUCAUGGUGCGUAAAGGGUGCGUAGGCGGCGCGGUAAGUCGGGUGUGAAAUCUUGGAGCUUAACUCCGAAACUGCAUUCGAUACUGCCGUGCUUGAGGACUGGAGAGGAGACUGGAAUUUACGGUGUAGCGGUGAAAUGCGUAGAUAUCGUAAGGAAGACCAGUGGCGAAGGCGGGUCUCUGGACAGUUCCUGACGCUGAGGCACGAAGGCCAGGGAGCAAACGGG
rnacentral:rRNA from 1 species